CACUGAGGGAAGAGUCAGUUAGAAGCUGCUCCUCAUUUGCAGACUUUCCGGGAGCCCACCCAGUUCCCGGUCUCUCACCGGAGACCACAGGGAGGAGCUUCAAGUCAUCCAAAGUCCCUACAGCCUCCAGCAGUGAAGACUUCCACAAGGGAGUCUUCCUUACAUCACUGAAUAAUGAAUGAGGAUGAGAGAGAGAAAGAGAAGAGGGAUGAAUCUGAUGAAUUCGAAAAGGCAAAGAAGGCCGAAUUAACUGCCGUCUUGACAAGACUCCGCAAAAUACUGCAAACUCAUGGCUAUCCUGUAAAAGGAGACAAAUUGGAAACAUUACAGAGCACCACUGUCCUUUCACAAGAGGACAAAGGUUUGAUUUGUUCAGCCUCCACCAUCAUUAUAGGUUUUCAAUUAGCCACAUUGAAAAUUAGCUGUGGGUGGGACAACUUCGUCUCUCACUUUACCUCAGACAUUCGUUGGGAAGA
rnacentral:lncRNA from 1 species